rnacentral:rRNA from 1 species
AUUGAACGCUGGCGGCAUGCUUUACACAUGCAAGUCGAACGGCAGCGCGGGGCAACCUGGCGGCGAGUGGCGAACGGGUGAGUAAUAUAUCGGAACGUACCCAAGAGUGGGGGAUAACGUAGCGAAAGUUACGCUAAUACCGCAUACGAUCCAAGGAUGAAAGUGGGGGACCGCAAGGCCUCAUGCUCCUGGAGCGGCCGAUACCUGAUUAGCUAGUUGGUGAGGAAAGGCUCACCAAGGCGACGAUCAGUAGCUGGUCUGAGAGGACGACCAGCCACACUGGGACUGAGACACGGCCCAGACUCCUACGGGAGGCAGCAGUGGGGAAUUUUGGACAAUGGGCGCAAGCCUGAUCCAGCAAUGCCGCGUGAGUGAAGAAGG